ACAGCGGGAAGGCACUUCCCUCUGUAGGCCCUGAGAUCUGUGCUGGACUCAGCUCUGUGGCCAUGUCCAGGGGGGCAGCCACAGACCAUGCAUGGCAGGUCCACAGCUCUGUUCCAUGAGAAUUUUAUCUACAAAAGCGGACUGGCUGGCCUCUGGAUCAUAAUCUGCCGACCCCUGGAACACCAGCCCCAUGGAAUGCUUUGGGGAAGAACAUGAAAGGCUCCUGUGGCCAGGGAUGUCUGGUGAAUGCCUGCUGAGUGUCUUCAAGGGUUCCUGCGCAUGAACACCGCGGAUACCUUCACAAGUCCUGAAAUAGUCUUAUUUGACCCAGCUGUACCCAAACUCAAUUGACUGUAAAAAAAAAUACUGCUUUAAUAUCUACUAAGCAUCUAUGAACUAAUAUUUUACAAAACCCACUUUUAUAAACUGCUUUCCGUUAACCUUUUGGACAAAAGCUACCCAGUACUGGCUUCAUCUUCUGUGUCUGCAGGAAUGAAAGAGAUUUAACCAGCUCAAAGAUAUAAAAGAAGUAAAUUAAGUCAGAAUCCUUGUUCCAGGACUGGAAGGAAAUGAGCUCAAGUUCCAGGCAACCCCAUGUCCACAGACCUCAUUAGUGCUGGUCCCUGGGCUGGCGUCUGGGUUCAAUUCCUUCUGAUGAGAUUGGCAGGCACAAAACCGACUUUAUGCAGGUGCAUCAGGCAUGCUCUGAAGGGAUGUGAGCCUCAUCCUGGUAAACAGGGAAGGCUGGGCAAGGAGGAAACCAAGCACCCGCCCGUCUCUGACGUUUCCGCAUGUUGCUGGCUGUCCAUCGGCCAGGGCUGCUCUCUGGGGCAUCACUGUUUCCUUGGCUGAGCUUCAAUCAAGAAAAGUCUAUCAGUACCUGCUGUAAAAGCACACAGACCGCAUGGUGAGGGAGGCAAGUUCUUCUUGGAAAAGGUCAGUAAACACGACAGAUCCAAUGCUGGCUCAUCACAGAGGCACAGACUUCCUUUCAGGCUCCCUGUCCAAGAGCCACCUCGGACACUCCUUCCAGUGAUGGAUUUGCCCCGAACCUCUCUGUUGGAAAUAGAUGCUUGGUGCUGCAAAGAAAAAUUAGCACUGAGAUAAAGGCCUGUCAGCAACACGAUUUUUACUUCCUGGGCUGCAGGAGGGGUACUCUCGGUAGCCAUCAUGCCACAAGAGUACAAGGAACAAAGGGAAACACACACAUUUCUUAUGCAUUUGGGUUGUCCUUACUGCUGUGU